GCGGCAGCCGGAUGGAGCCGCGGCAUCUCGGCCUCAAGCCACCUGAGCUCUGACCUGUGUCAGGCCAGAAAGAUUAGCACCAGCAGACAGAAAAGAAAAUUAAAAACCAAGAAAGAGAAGAGAAAGAAAGGAUCUCAAAACAUGGUGGAAGUAAUGAUUGAGAUUUAGACUAAGAGAAAAGAGACAAAGAAACAACAGAAGUCCCAAGGACAUUCAUGAGCAAAAUCAAGAUGUUCCAUCCCUUGAACAAAGAAGCAUGUUCCUCCUGCCGUGCCAGCCUGCAGAUGCCUGCCCCUUUUAUGCAGCGGCCUCUGCUGCUCGCUCCCUCUGGCCUUCUCCUUCCCAAGCCAUUUCAUUCCUGAGCUCAGAGCUACAGAGCAGAGCUUUCCUGGACACAGCAAGAUGAAUAAAUACGUUGACAUUUUUGGAAACAGAUUCUCAUGUAUUGGAAGACAAAAAUACGGAAAAGAGAAAGUAAGAAAGUACCUUACAUGUUGGAUUGGAAUUGGAUAUGAAUACAAACUCAACAUACCUACCUUCAUAGUAGAAAUAAGCACAUCUAGUCUCCAGAUCGUG